GAUUCGGUAGUUCAGCUGGUUAGAAUACCUGCCUGUCACGCAGGGGGUCGCGGGUUCGAGUCCCGUCCGAAUCG
rnacentral:tRNA from 1 species